rnacentral:rRNA from 1 species
AUUGAACGCUGGCGGCAUGCUUUACACAUGCAAGUCGAACGGCAGCGCGGGCUUCGGCCUGGCGGCGAGUGGCGAACGGGUGAGUAAUACAUCGGAACGUGCCCAGUAGUGGGGGAUAGCUCGGCGAAAGCCGGAUUAAUACCGCAUACGACCUGAGGGUGAAAGCGGGGGAUCUUCGGACCUCGCGCUAUUGGAGCGGCCGAUGGCAGAUUAGCUAGUUGGUGGGGUUAAGGCCUACCAAGGCGACGAUCUGUAGCUGGUCUGAGAGGACGACCAGCCACACUGGGACUGAGACACGGCCCAGACUCCUACGGGAGGCAGCAGUGGGGAAUUUUGGACAAUGGGCGAAAGCCUGAUCCAGCAAUGCCGCGUGUGUGAUGAAGGCCUUCGGGUUGUAAAGCACUUUUGGCGGGAACGAAAAGGACUGUGCCAAUACCACGGUUCGAUGACGGUACCCGCAGAAUAAGCACCGGCUAACUACGUG